rnacentral:rRNA from 1 species
UACGGAGGGGGCUAGCGUUGUUCGGAAUUACUGGGCGUAAAGGGCUCGUAGGCGGCCAACUAAGUCAGACGUGAAAUCCCUCGGCUUAACCGGGGAACUGCGUCUGAUACUGGAUGGCUAGAGGUUGGGAGAGGGAUGCGGAAUUCCAGGUGUAGCGGUGAAAUGCGUAGAUAUCUGGAGGAACACCGGUGGCGAAGGCGACAUCCUGGACCGGUAUUGACGCUGAGGCGCGAAAGCCAGGGGAGCAAACGGG